ACUAAGGAGGAAGCUGGGCUUUUGUUUGCUUGUUUGUUUGAGGGUUUUUUUUACUGGUGUAUCUUCCUGGAGGGGAAAGCAUGCAGCAAAAUUUUGUAUCUCACUAACAGCUUACUGAUGGCCUUGAACUUAAUUCAGAUCUGCCAAGUGAAAUCCAGUCUGGGCAAAUCUAUAUCACUUUGUAUAGCUUAAUUCCACUCCAGUUCUUUACAUUCCUCUCUUCAGUGCCUAGGAAGAACAUCUAAGGGCAAGUGUCAGGGUCACUAGCUAUGAGACCUCAUGGCUACCCAGUCACUACAAUACUACUUAUAAUGUUCCAAUGUAGUGACAUCACAAUAUGCCCUUGGUGGCUGAUACAGCAGCCACAGAAAGGGCAGCAAGGAGCUGAUUUCCCAAGAAGGGCAAGGCAGCAGCAUUACCCUGAUCAUAUUCCAAGGAAGUGAAGCGACUACCUUGAGGAAACCCCAGAAUAAGGGUUUAUUUCUAAAGAAACAGUCAGAAUUUCCAAACAUCAGUGGAAGGAAAAGACUGUGGAGGAGAACAUUUGAUUAAUGCACUGUAAUACCAGCAAUAAUUUUACCAGUACUGAAUAGACCCAAUCAGGAAAUCAACCCCCCAGGACUGUGCCACCUCCCAGUCACAGCCACAGUUCAGAAAUGGGAAAUUCCCACCUGGCAGAGGAUCCGGGCUUACCACCAGAUCCACUCUCACACCCAUGGGGGGCAGAAAGAGAAGACAAGAAGAAGGGAAAGCAGAGAUGCCACAACAUAAGGAAGACCCUGAGCUCCGUCUUGCUGCUAGGGGUAAUGAUCUUUGAACUGGAUGAAGGCUGUUUCCUGGACAGCCUAAUAGGGGAGCCUCCUCUCUGGUACAUGCUGUACUCCCUGCUACUUGGACAGGAUCUCCUUGUCCACCAUCAGAGAGAGAAACACUAUCACCACUGAUGGGGCUCUGUGGGGCCAAACCAAAAGGAAGAUGAACAUUUUAAAUGCAUGGCUGUGAUUUGAAGAGCAUUUAUUAUUUAGAAACUUACUUCUGCAAGAAACAUAAUCUACGCUGUUUCUGCUGGAGAGAUCUUCAACACACCUACAGUAUACAUAUGUCCACCCAAUAAACUGCUAUUAAUCA